GUAUUGAUUGCGUGUGAUCGCAAAUAAAAUAAAAGACAUUCUACACUGCAUCAAUGUUUGUGUGAAAACGCAAGCCCCCCCUCUGAACGAGCCAAAAGGGGGACCCACGCGGUGGUGCACAGGGUGAGAUGGAUUGUUUGAAAAUGCUCGGGCGUGCACGACCAAAAGUCAGCGACAGCCCUUGCACCUCAGUUUUACAAUAAUGAUCCUUCCGCAGGUUCACCUACGGAAA
rnacentral:misc_RNA from 1 species